rnacentral:rRNA from 1 species
GAUGAACGCUGGCGGCGUGCCUAAUACAUGCAAGUCGAGCGAACAGAUGAGAAGCUUGCUUCUCUGAUGUUAGCGGCGGACGGGUGAGUAACACGUGGGUAACCUACCUAUAAGACUGGGAUAACUCCGGGAAACCGGGGCUAAUACCGGAUAAUAUUUUGAACCGCAUGGUUCAAUAGUGAAAGACGGUUUCGGCUGUCACUUAUAGAUGGACCCGCGCCGUAUUAGCUAGUUGGUAAGGUAAUGGCUUACCAAGGCGACGAUACGUAGCCGACCUGAGAGGGUGACAGGCCACACUGGAACUGAGAGACGGUCCAGACGCCUACGGGAGGCAGCAGUAGGGAAUCUUCCGCAAUGGGCGAAAGCCUGACGGAGCAACGCCGCGUGAGUGAUGAAGGUCUUCGGAUCGUAAAACUCUGUUGUUAGGGAAGAACAAAUUUGUUAGUAACUGAACAAGUCUUGACGGUACCUAACCAGAAAGCCACGGCUAACUACGUGCCAGCCGCCGCCGUAA